ACAUUUUUUUUUAAAGGAUAGAAUAAUUUUAAAAGUGGAAACACAGUAAAAAUUUGAUACAUCAUUACUUUUAAAAACUUCAAAGGACUCCUAUAUGACUCUCCUGGCUUUGCGACAGAGCAAUAAUACCCGGUGUGUAGGGUCCCAAUUUCAGGUAAUUCUAUGUGUGUCAUGUUGCUUUAUCGCACGACCUCUCACCAAGAAGUUUUGGGAAGUCAAGGAAGGCUUCCUACCCUUUAGUUAUCUGAAUGAGGGGCUCGUGUGGACCUAAUAAAUGAAGGACCGAGGGGAAAACAGAAUUCAAAGAGCGCACCAUUUUGGCCCGGAAAGAGUCAAAAGUCUUCAUUGUUUUUGUGAGUUCUAAUAGACCCAUAUAAGUUAUUUUGUUCAGCUGAUAUCCUGUCUACAUAAAGAAGUUAUUUUUUUAUCCUUAGAGUCCAAAUGUCCUUGUUUUUCAACAGCCUUGAAAGCCACGAGUAGUUUAAGGAUUCAGUGUUAAAACAUCCUAACCCCAAUCGUGAAUGGAGGCCUCAAUUCUACAUUUUGAUAUGUACGGUCUUGUUUUAUUCCAGAAGAAGUUAUCCCAAAUACAAUCUAUUUUUCGACUAGUGCCUUCGUUAAAUGGAAGGAAUAUCAGCAGAUAUAUAACCUUUGGAACAAUAAUUGUAUUACAAACCUUAACUUUGUCUAUGAAAGUCAGCUGGAGGGAUGACAGCAUUUCCCCUUAAGACAUCAAUCUUUAAGCCCAAAAGAGAGAAAAAUUGUGAAGCCUUCAGAUGUGGAAAACUAGCUCUGAAUACAUCCUCAUCAGACGUAAGGACCUCUGGUCUGCCGAGAUUCACUCUUAGGCCUGAGUCAUCUUUAAAUUUAUCUGAUGUUUGGAAAGUUGUAAUUACAGAAUGGGUUUAGCUCUCUGGAGUACCCUCAAGGAUCAGUGCGAGGUCGUCUGUGUACUAAAAUGAUUUGCUAUUGGCCACUAGAAAGAAUAAGGAACAAGCAAUCUCCUUGUCUACAUAAAUCCUCUUGUAUUAUGUAACCAAGAGGAGUAACCUCUUAUCCCUAUUUUGCAGGAAGCUCGACAAUGGACAGUUACAAUCAUGUGGACUUAUCGGGGGUG
rnacentral:lncRNA from 1 species